rnacentral:rRNA from 1 species
UACGUAGGGGGCGAGCGUUGUCCGGAAUUAUUGGGCGUAAAGAGCGUGUAGGCGGUUCGGUAAGUCUGUCGUGAAAUCCUGGGGCUCAACCUCGGGCGUGCGAUGGAUACUGCCGGGCUAGAGGGUGGUAGAGGCGAGCGGAAUUCCCGGUGUAGCGGUGAAAUGCGCAGAUAUCGGGAGGAACACCAGUAGCGAAGGCGGCUCGCUGGGCCACACCUGACGCUGAGACGCGAAAGCUAGGGGAGCGAACAGG